UCCAGUCUGGAGGACAGCAGUAACUGGAGCAGGAUCCAGUGGCCGGCAGCUGGCAGAGGACAGCUGGGAUUUGGAAUAAGGUCCUGACCAUUGGAGUGACUUCCUGAGGCAGAUUAACCCACUCAGGCAUGUGUGAAAAAUUACCCUGCUGAAACUACACUAAUCACAGCAUAUAUACUUGCAAGCACAGGAUGCAAACUGUGACCCUGCCAGGAGAAUAAAUUUCCACCGGUGCCUGUAACUGCAUUAAUUACUGAGCAUACCUGGAGGAGCUUGUGUGAGCUGACCAGUUCUUCCCUGAGGCCAUCUGGGAAUCAGAAACAAGGCUGCCUGGAGUCCCUGUGCCCUGAAAAGCUGGAUUCCCUAGGAGCGUGCCUAAUCAGAGCAACAGGAAGCUCCAUGGAGAUCUGCUGCUGAAUGGAGACCCUCUCUGCGCUUGCCACUAGUGGACAUGCAACCAAGGAAUCAGAGCAGCACAAAUGGCAAGU